GGGGGGGGGGGGGGGGGGGGGGGGGGGGGGGAGGGGGGGGGGGGGGGGCGGGCGGGGGGGGGGGGGGCGAGGGGCGAACGGGGGGGGAACACGUGAGUAACCGGCCCUUGACUUGGGGAUAACUGCAGGAAACUGGGGCGAAUACCGGAGAGGAGCUCCUGCUGCAGGGUGGGGGUUGGAAAGUUUCGGCGGUUGGGGAUGGACUCGCGGCUUAUCAGCUUGUUGGUGGGGUAGUGGCUUACCAAGGCUUUGACGGGUAGCCGGCCUGAGAGGGUGACCGGCCACAUUGGGACUGAGAUACGGCCCAGACUCCUACGGGAGGCAGCAGUGGGGAAUAUUGCACAAUGGGCGGAAGCCUGAUGCAGCAACGCCGCGUGCGGGAUGACGGCCUUCGGGUUGUAAACCGCUUUCGCCUGUGACGAAGCGUGAGUGACGGUAAUGGGUAAAGAAGCACCGGCUAACUACGUG
rnacentral:rRNA from 1 species